rnacentral:rRNA from 1 species
AGUGAACGCUGGCGGUAGGCCUAACACAUGCAAGUCGAACGGCAGCACAGUAAGAGCUUGCUCUUACGGGUGGCGAGUGGCGGACGGGUGAGGAAUACAUCGGAAUCUACUUUUUCGUGGGGGAUAACGUAGGGAAACUUACGCUAAUACCGCAUACGACCUACGGGUGAAAGCAGGGGAUCUUCGGACCUUGCGCGAUUGAAUGAGCCGAUGUCGGAUUAGCUAGUUGGCGGGGUAAAGGCCCACCAAGGCGACGAUCCGUAGCUGGUCUGAGAGGAUGAUUGGCCACACUGGAACUGAGACACGGUCCAGACUCCUACGGGAGGCAGCAGUGGGGAAUCUUGGACAAUGGGCGCAAGCCUGAUCCAGCCAUACCGCGUGGGUGAAGAAGGCCUUCGGGUUGUAAAGCCCUUUUGUUGGGAAAGAAAAGCAGCAGGUUAAUACCCCGCUGUUCUGACGGUACCCAAAGAAUAAGCACCGGCUAACUUCGUG